UACAGAGGUCCCGAGCGUUGUUCGGAUUCACUGGGCGUAAAGGGUGCGUAGGUGGCGAGGUAAGUCGGAUGUGAAAGCUCGGAGCUCAACUCCGAAAUGGCAUUGGAAACUACCUUGCUCGAGGGUUGGAGGGGGGACUGGAAUACUUGGUGUAGCAGUGAAAUGCGUAGAUAUCCGGAGGAACACCGACGGCGUAGGCAGCGCCCUAGACGAGACCUGACGCUCAGGCACGAAAGCGCGGGGAGCGAACAGG
rnacentral:rRNA from 1 species